rnacentral:rRNA from 1 species
CGUAUCACCCAAGACAACUUUACGGAGUUGACGAUUGACGGAGCGAAGCGACGUCAAAGCGUUCAUUAAAGUCGAGUUGGCUUAGGGAUACGUUCGUUGGGUAGGGGAGCGUUCUGUAAGCCUGUGAAGGUGUGUCGUGAGGCAUGCUGGAGGUAUCAGAAGUGCGAAUGCUGACAUAAGUAACGAUAAAGCGGGUGAAAAGCCCGCUCGCCGGAAGACCAAGGGUUCCUGUCCAACGUUAAUCGGGGCAGGGUGAGUCGACCCCUAAGGCGAGGCCGAAAGGCGUAGUCGAUGGGAAACGGGUUAAUAUUCCCGUACUUGGUGUUACUGCGAAGGGGGGACGGAGAAGGCUAUGUUGGCCGGGCGACGGUUGUCCCGGUUUAAGCGUGUAGGUGUGUGUUCCAGGUAAAUCCGGUUCACUUUAACACUGAGGCGUGACGACGAGGCACUACGGUGCUGAAGCAACAAAUGCCC